AGAGUUUGAUCAUGGCUCAGGACGAACGCUGGCGGCGUGCUUAACACAUGCAAGUCGAACGGAAAGGCCCUUCGGGGUACUCGAGUGGCGAACGGGUGAGUAACACGUGGGUGAUCUGCCCUGCACUUUGGGAUAAGCCUGGGAAACUGGGUCUAAUACCGAAUAUGACCAUGCGCCUCCUGGUGUGUGGUGGAAAGCUUUUGCGGUGUGGGAUGGGCCCGCGGCCUAUCAGCUUGUUGGUGGGGUAAUGGCCUACCAAGGCGACGACGGGUAGCCGGCCUGAGAGGGUGACCGGCCACACUGGGACUGAGAUACGGCCCAGACUCCUACGGGAGGCAGCAGUGGGGAAUAUUGCACAAUGGGCGCAAGCCUGAUGCAGCGACGCCGCGUGAGGGAUGACGGCCUUCGGGUUGUAAACCUCUUUCAGCACAGACGAAGCGCAAGUGACGGUAUGUGCAGAAGAAGGACCGGCCAACUACGUGCCAGCAGCCGCGGUAAUACGUAGGGUCCGAGCGUUGUCCGGAAUUACUGGGCGUAAAGAGCUCGUAGGUGGUUUGUCGCGUUGUUCGUGAAAACUCACAGCUUAACUGUGGGCGUGCGGGCGAUACGGGCAGACUUGAGUACUGCAGGGGAGACUGGAAUUCCUGGUGUAGCGGUGGAAUGCGCAGAUAUCAGGAGGAACACCGGUGGCGAAGGCGGGUCUCUGGGCAGUAACUGACGCUGAGGAGCGAAAGCGUGGGGAGCGAACAGGAUUAGAUACCCCGGUAGUCC
rnacentral:rRNA from 1 species